rnacentral:RNase_P_RNA from 1 species
AGGGCCGGUCGGGCGGUCGCGGCGUCUGGCAUAACGCCACUCGCCGAGGAAAGUCCGAGCUGGACCGCGGGCCUCCCAAACGCGAAACACCGCGUUGGGGGACCCCAGGGCACGGUGGUGGCUAACGGCCACCGGGAGCGAUCCCAGGGAUAGUGCCACAGAAAACACACCGCCGAUGGCCCGCAAGGGCUCAGGUAAGGGUGAAAAGGUGCGGUAAGAGCGCACCGCGGCGGCGGCGACGUCGCCGGCAGGGAAAACCCCACCGCCAGCAAGACCAAGCAGCCGGUCGGCACAACGGUCCUGCGGACCUCGUGUCCGAAGGACCAGCCGUACUCGGCCCGGGUAUCCGCGGCUUCGGUCGCAGGGCCGGCGGGUAGGUCGCGUCCCGCGAACCGCUGCGCCUCGGCGCCGCGGGCGGGAGAGCCGGUCGGCAACGACCGGUCCAGAUAAAUGACCGCCACCCGCCUUCGGGCGGGGACAGAACUCGGCUUACAGACCGACCCUGGAA